AUCUAAAUUAAUUUUCAAAACAUUCAUAUAAUUAUCCAAGUAUAGGUGAUAGAACAGAUAAAUCUUAGGCACGAUAGAGAGAGUACCGUGAGGGAACGUUGAAAGAUCUCAUCCUGUAAGCAAUAAAAAGCAAAGAUUAAAUCUUCUACCUUUUGCAUAAUGAUUUAGCCAGUCUACACGGACAAAAAGAAUUAAAGCCCGUCUUCCCGAAAUUGAGUGAGCUAUUGUAGAACAGUUGUCAGAACGAACUCGUCUAUGUAGCAAAAUAGUGAGAUGAUUUUACAAUAGGGGUGAAAAGCCUAUCGAACUCAAUGAUAGCUGGUUGUCCAAAAAACGAAUUUUAGUUCAACUUUAAAUUUAACUCAAGUAUUAACAAACUAAAUUUAAAUUUAAAUGUUAAUCAAAAGGGGGACAACUCUUUUGAUAUGUGAACAAACUUAUUUAGCGGGUAAUGAUUCACACACAAAACAUUGUAGGCCUAAAAGCAGCCAUCAAUUAAGAAAGCGUUAAAGCUCAAACUAGUUUACCACUUAAUACCAAUUAUUUAUCAAAACCCCUAACCUAAUAUUGGACAAUUCUAUUAAUAUUUAGAAGAUAUAAUGCUAAUAUGAGUAACAUGAAUAAAUUCUCCUUGCAUAAGCAUAAAUACGACCGGAACAACCGCUUACACUUAAUCAACUAUAUAACUAUAACCACAUACAAGUAUUUUAUCAUCAACAUUGUUAACCCAACUCAGGCGUGCAUUAAGGAAAGAUUAAAAGGAAUAAAAGGAACUCGGCAAACAAAACCCCGCCUGUUUACCAAAAACAUCACCUCUAGCAUUUACCAGUAUUAGAGGCACUGCCUGCCCGGUGAGUUAUGACUUUAACGGCCGCGGUAUCCUGACCGUGCAAAGGUAGCAUAAUCACUUGUCUCUUAAUUGGAGACUAGUAUGAAUGGCAUAACGAGGGUUU
rnacentral:rRNA from 1 species